rnacentral:rRNA from 1 species
CAGCAGCCGCGGUAAUACGAAGGGGGCUAGCGUUGUUCGGAAUUACUGGGCGUAAAGCGCACGUAGGCGGAUAUUUAAGUCAGGGGUGAAAUCCCGCAGCUCAACUGCGGAACUGCCUUUGAUACUGGGUAUCUUGAGUAUGGAAGAGGUUAGUGGAAUUGCGAGUGUAGAGGUGAAAUUCGUAGAUAUUCGCAGGAACACCAGUGGCGAAGGCGGCUAACUGGUCCAUAACUGACGCUGAGGUGCGAAAGCGUGGGGAGCAAACAGGAUUAGAGACCCGCGUAGUCCCUGUCUCUUAUAC